CCCGACUGCUAUUUGGGUGAGAAUAAGCCAUGCGAGUUGAAUGGAAUACCUAAAUUUUCCAUAGCAAACUGCUCAGUAACACAUGAUCAACUUACCCUAUAGAGAAAAAUAACCUCGGGAAACUGAGGAUAAUGUUUCAUAGUCGAAAAGGCUUGGAAAAGUUUUUCAAUUAAAAGGAUAAGAAAAAUGGUUUUUAUCCGCUAUAGGAUAGGAUCGUGGUCGAUUAUGGUUAUUGGUGAGGUAAUGGCUCACCAAGCCGAUAAUCGAUAGGGGCCGUGAGAGCGGGAGCCCCGAGAUGGGUACUGAGACAACGACCCAGGCCUUACGAGGCGCAGCAGGCGCGAAACCUCCGCAAUACACGAAAGUGUGACGGGGUUACCCAAAGUGUUCAAUUUUGAACUGUGGUAGGUGAGUAAUGUUCCCUACUAGAAAGGAGAGGGCAAGGCUGGUGCCAGCCGCCGCGGUAAAACCAGCUCUUCAAGUGGUCGGGAUAAUUAUUGGGCUUAAAGUGUCCGUAGCCGGUUUAGUAAGUUCCUGGUAAAAUCGGGUAGCUUAACUAUCUGUAUGCUAGGAAUACUGCUAAACUAGAGGGCGGGAGAGGUCUGAGGUACUACAGGGGUAGGGGUGAAAUCUUAUAAUCCUUGUAGGACCACCAGUGGCGAAGGCGUCAGACUGGAACGUGCCUGACGGUGAGGGACGAAAGCCAGGGGAGCGAACCGGAUUAGAUACCCGGGUAGUCCUGGCCGUAAACGAUGCAUACUAGGUGAUGGCAUGGCCAUGAGCCGUGUCAGUGCCGUAGGGAAACCGUUAAGUAUGCCGCCUGGGAAGUACGGUCGCAAGGCUAAAACUUAAAGGAAUUGGCGGGGGAGCACCACAAGGGGUGAAGCCUGCGGUU
rnacentral:rRNA from 1 species